AUUGAACGCUGGCGGCAGGCCUAACACAUGCAAGUCGAACGAGUGGCGGACGGGUGAGUAAUGUCUGGGAAACUGCCCGAUGGAGGGGGAUCACUACUGGAAACGGUAGCUAAUACCGCAUACCAUCGGAUGUGCCCAGAUGGGAUUAGCUAGUAGGUGGGGUAACGACUCACCUAGGCGACGAUCCCUAGCGGGUCUGAGAGGAUGACCAGCCACACUGGAACUGAGACACGGUCCAGACUCCUACGGGAGGCAGCAGUGGGGAAUAUUGCACAAUGGGCGCAAGCCUGAUGCAGCCAUGCCGCGUGUAUGAAGAAGGCCCUCGGGUUGUAAAGUACUUUCGGCGGGGAAGCGGUACCCGCAGAAGAAGCACCGGCUAACUCCGUGCCAGCCGCCGCGGUAAUUC
rnacentral:rRNA from 1 species